CUUUCAACAACGGAUCUCUUGGUUCCAGCAUCGAUGAAGAACGCAGCGAAAUGCGAUAAGUAAUGUGAAUUGCAGAAUUCAGUGAAUCAUCGAAUCUUUGAACGCACAUUGCGCCCCUCGGUAUUCCGGGGGGCAUGCCUGUUCGAGCGUCAUUACACCCUUCAAGCGUAGCUUGGUCUU
rnacentral:rRNA from 2 species